UCUUGUAUAAUAGUAACUAGGAACUAAUUAGGGCCGUUGGAUCUAACUUAGAUACGCGCUUGAUUAGCGGCCCAGAUUAAUUCAAACAUAUUCCAUUCAUUUCCCAACCAACUAGCGCACUUUCUCUCUCCUCAAACAUUUUCUCUCUCCUCCAUUGCAACGAGUCCUCUGAAUUCUCCAUUGAAGCGGCUUUCGAGCUUUCUCUACUCCAAUGAAGCAGCUUCUGAGGUAAGAUGUUUGUUUUUUUCUUUAUUUUUCUUAAAAAAUUACACUUUCAUUGUUUUUAUCGUUAAUUGUUUUUGUCAAUUUAGGGUUCUUUUUAUCUGGAUUUAUAAAAUUUGAUAAUGUUUGAAGUUUAUUGUGCUUGAAUUAGGUAUAAUUUUUCAAUAAUAGUUGUAGUUUGCAGUUUUUUUUGCUUCAAUUUUGGAUUCCGGUACGAUUUAAUUGGAGAUUCAAAAGCUACUCUUGAAAUUUCUCAGGUAUUAAAGUAAUAUUCAGCUAAUAAUUUGAUGUUGUUUAACAGUUCGCUACAAUAAAUCGCAAUUUAUGCUUGUAAAUUUUGUUUUGUUUGAUGAAAUUUGUGGUUUUUUUUUUUUUUUUUUUAUUUUUUUUUUCCGCUCAUGUAUACGCGAUAUUUGAUGAUUUAUCUAUAAUCUGAAAAUUUUGUGUAUGAUGAUGAUUAUUGAAUAUUGCAAUAAAACGAGUAUGUGGUAAUUUGCUAUGAGAAUUAUCUACAUUCUGAUAAUUUUGUGUGUGAUGAUGAUUAUUGAAUAUUGCUUGCCUCAUUGUUUAAUUUAGCUAUGUUGCUUUUAAAAUUAUAUACAAAAUUCCUAAAAGUAAAUCAAUUAGGCUUAGAGUUUUAAGUUUUCAUUGGCAGUUGAGUAGUAGCUAUGUUGCUUUUAAAAUUAUAUACAAAAUUCCUAAAAUGAUGAUUAUUGAAAUAAUUUGGAGCUUCAAAUACUUGUGAUUUUUGUAAAGAUGUUGUGAUUGGAUUUUGAGUUUAAGGCACAAUGGCUUUUGGUUGUAGUUUCUGGUAGAUUGAUAUCUUUAAUAGAUAUUGCUUAAGAAUAUCAUUCCUAUAAAUUCAAAUUGACCUUGAAUUAGGUAGAAGUAAACCAAACCUUUUUAAAAGUAGAUUAAAUCUUUACCAAAGUAAAUAAAUAGCAGUUUUAUGUUUAAAAGUGAUUAGAACAGAAGUCAAUGAAUGUGUAUAAUGCCUUAUACUGUGUUUGUUGAAAUCCAAUACCUCAAACCAGUUACAUUCUUACAUAUUACUGAUUUCAUAUAAAGAGAGCAGAAGGGUGCAAGAAGAAAUACAAGAUAACACAAUGAUGAACCUAUGUUAUUAUUGGCUAACAAAUUAAGUUCAACUUAAGACUUUUCAACACUUGCUUAUACAUAUUUCCUCUUAGCAGCUUAAUGCCAACUUGCUCAAUGUCAACUUCAGAGUAACUCUAGCAAUACAAACUUAUCUAAGCACAUGUCUGAAGUCAACCAAACAUUGUAUAUUUUAUCAAAGAACAGUACAAAAUAAACCUGAAAAGAGAUUAAGAUCAAUCUUGUUAGUUUCUAGUGCAUACAUUAUUCAAAGUUCAUUGUUGUCAUUAGAUUAUAAUGCAGCCAUUAUAACAUAAUGCCGCUGCAGCUAGCGACAAGUCAUGAUAUGAACUGUAUCUAUACUUCUACUCAAUUAACAUAACACAGAAUAAUGGUGGGAAUUGGGGAAUAGACUCGUGAUCGUGACUUCAAAGUCCGGAUAUUGAAGCUAAUUACCAAGUACAAGAGCACGAGUACUGCUAUAAUAGCAAGCUUAUUUGAUGGUUCCGAAACUUUUAAUAACAUGACUUUUGGUUGGGUACAUGUUAAGGAUGUUACCAUGGUACAUAUCCUGGCAUUUGAAGUACCUUAAGCUAAAAGAAGGUACUGCUUAGUCGAAAGUGUUGCACAUUAUGAUUCAGAUAUUAUUAGGGUGUUAGAAGAGCUUUAUCCAAACGGUACUCUUUUCAAAGUGCAAAGAUGGCUGUCCAUUGAAGCCUGUUUAUCAGGUCUCAAAGGAGAAACCUCGAAAUUUGGGCAUUGAUUUAUCCCUCUAUCAAUUCUCAAUGCUUUGAGAGAUGUGCAGUAAAUCAACUCUUGACAUACAUGUGUGAGCUCCACCACGUCCUCAACAUGGAGAUUUUGUAAGGAAGAAUGUGAGUUUUUAGUUUGGUGUGAAAAAAGUAAAUAAAAAAGACUGUAAAGUGAAUAAAAAAGCCUUUAAAGUAAACUUAUUAGCUCAAGUGGUAGAGCACUAUGCGGAUGCAUAAAGGUGUAGGUUCAAUUCCUACAUAGGUUAUCUUAGAAAGUAAUUACAAAACAAUCUAAAGUUAUUCAUAAUACCUCAAAAGUAAAUCAAAAUCUCUCAAAAGUAAGUAGAAAAACUAAAAAAGUAAAUGAACAUAUGUCAAAAGUAAAUCAAAUCAACUAAAAAGUAUAAAGUUCAAUUUACUUAACUUAUAAACUAGCAUCUUUUUUUGAGGCGUCCAAUGAUAAAAUUACAGUAUAAUCAAGCCUGAUACCUGUUUGUAACAAGGAUCAUGCAUCAUCAGACAUGUUGUUCUAUUUCAGAACAUUGUGGUUCUUCCACGACAGAAUUAGCCAGACUAUACUUACAUGAACAAGGAAGCAUUUGAACAUUGGAAUAAAAGAGAAGCAGUUACAUUAAUAUGAACUUGUGAAACUACACAGUUGAUACACUUGGGAUAUAAACUGUGAAGUAUACAAUGAAUCAUGUGUUAUAUUUUUAUGUUUUGGAUUAUUGCACCAAGUAUACUAAAACCUAUUAGCUUAAAUGGUAGAGCACUAUGCAAAUGCAUAGGAGAUGUAGGUUCGAUUCCUACAUAGAUUGUCUCUAAAAAUAACUAAAAAAACCUCAAUAGUAAACCAAAUCAUCUUAAAAGUAAAUCAUAGUAAUUCAAAAGUAAUAAGUACAAAAAAGUGAGUAUAUCAAGCUAGGAAUAAAGUGAUGAACUUUUUUCAAAGUUAGGGAUUAAACACUCUAAAGUUAUAACAAAAUACCUCAAAAGUAAAUUAAAAUAACCAAAAAGUAAAUCAAAUUAGCUUGAUGUAUAUACGAACAAUUAAUUGGCUUUUAAUGAGUAAUGACACUAUGAAAACUUGAAAAUAGCACAAAAUUUUUGAGUCAUUGAUUUAAAUAUCCUUACAAAAUGAAUCAAGUUAUGAGAAAGAAGUAUAUGAAGCUCAAUGUAAAGGUUUAAUCAAAAGUAGAGCAAAAUAUGUUAAAAGUACAUCAUAAUUACUCUAACGUAAAUACUAAAAAGUUAAUCAAAAUAUCAUUGAAGUAAAUAUAUAAUAAUAUCAACUUUAAAGUAAAUAAUAUUUUUUCAAAAGUAAAUUAGAAAAACUCAAAAGUAAAUAUAAAUAUAAUAUUUAUAAUCCAAUGGUUUGAAGCAUAAGAACCUACGUGGGAUUCAAACCCACAUCUUUUGUGCACUUGCACAAUGCUCUACCUAUUGAGCUAGUAGGCUAUUAUAGAGUUAGAAUAAUUAGUUUAACACAAUUGAUCGUUUUAGUUUCUUUAUACUAGAAAAAUCACAAAAUUAAAUAAAAAAAUACUCAAAAGUAAAUAUAAAAAUACUCAAAAGUAAAUAAGAAAAGCAUAAUUACAAAACUAGGAAGCAAAGAAGUUUCAGCCGAUAACAUGGCAGCAAUUUUCAAAGCCUGUGACAAACUUCCAUUAUUAUCAUUGGCCGCUAUUAGAGUCUUGGACAAAGAAGGCUCUAACGGAAGCUCAGCCAUGGUUCUCCCAACACUCGUUAUUGCUCCAUUCUCAUCUAUUGCAUCAAUGAGAUACAACUGACUAAGCAUCACCUAAUGACGCAUAAGAAGGUGUAUCCAGAAAAUCAUACUUAAGAAUAUCAAUGCCAGGGAGGUCCAAGGACUUCAGAUACAGGACACUCCAUGCAAGUGAGGUUCUCUGUAUAAAAUCAUCUUUAUACACAAUAGAUGAAUAUAACCUAUAACAUUUCUUGGGGCGUGUCCUCCCAGCAUGCCCCGAUCGUUGGUUAACCUGCACUCUACUAAUCUGUACAGUAUCUAAUGAAUACAACCCAGUUUGAAGAUUAUACUGUCUUUUCAUAACAUAACAAAAAUUUAUAACAUACAAAACCCCAUUAACAGUCAUAGAAGUUUUAGCAAUAUUAGUUGCAACAAUAAAAACUCCUACAAUCACUCUGAGGAGGGCUAAAAACACGAACCUGUAACUCCGGGGGCAACGACCCAUGGAGUGGAUAAAUCACAGCAUCCAUUCCAGAACCUUCUUCUAAGCUCCUAACUCGAUCCUUCAGCUUCUGCACCAACUUCUCUAUAUCCUCUUGACCUGUCAUAAAGAUCAAUAUAUCUUGCUAAACUAAAAUUAUAUAUUAUUAAAACUAAAUUAAAGCUCCAAAAAAAACCCAAAUAACAAUAAUUGAAUCUUAUAUUAUUGCAAAAUUCCAAAUGCACCGACACCCAUACCUAUCAAAUACAAAACUGAAAUCAACAUAAUCACAAACAAAUUUCAGAUCUUGCUAAACUAAAAUCGAAUCGUACUGAACCCAAAUUUCGUAAUAAAAAACGCAAAAAUUUGAUUUAAAAUUGUAUUAAAUCAAGGAAAGCAUUGUUAAUUACAAUCGAAUCAACUUACCUGCCCAUAAACUUGAUUGAAGAAUGCACGAAGAUGAGAAGAUGAAAAUUGAUGCCGUGCAAAAAGAUUAGAGGAAUUUCAGGAGAAGAGUGAGUUUGCAGGAGGAGAGAGAAAACAAAUUCAAGAGAGAGAAAAUGUGGAAGAAGAGAAAGAAAGAAAAUGAACAACGCAUGAGUUAGGACGAAGGUCAUUCAACGCGUAAAUUACAAAAAUGCCAUUAAUGAGGCGGGUGGAAUGUGAGCCAUUAGAUUAAGCGCGAUUAACGGUCAAGAUGAGUUCGUAGUUCCUAUUACAGACCUAUAUUGUCACAUGAUCCUGACAUA